rnacentral:rRNA from 1 species
AAGAGCCCAGCACCGAAGCUCGCAGUCGGAAACGGCUGCCGCGCAAUGUGGUGUUUAGGAGAGCCCAAUUAACCCGGGCGUGUGUAGCGUGUCCAAGUCCUUCUUGAAUGGGGCCACUCACCCAGAGAGGGUGCCAGGCCCGUAGCGACCGUUACCGUGUUCGGGUGGGUAUGUCUCCCUAGAGUCGAGUUGCUUGAGAGUGCAGCUCUAAGUGGGUGGUAAACUCCAUCUAAGGCUAAAUAUGACCACGAGACCGAUAGCGAACAAGUACCGUGAGGGAAAGUUGAAAAGAACUUUGCAGAGAGAGUUCAAUAGUACGUGAAACCGUUCAGGGGUAAACCUGAGAAACCCGAAAGCUCGAAGGGGGAGAUUCAAUCGCCUCGCCGGUGGCAGCCUGUCUUUAGCUCUGUGUGUGUUCAUGUCGUGGUUUGUCGCAACCUCGCACCUCGGUGCGUUGCUGUGGCACGCUCGCGCACGUUCACCCCUGCCAUUGAUUGUCGUCUGUUGCCGGAGGUGUGCACUUCUCCCCUUGUAGAACGUCGUGACCCAUUGGGUGCCCGUCUAAGGUCCGCUGGGGCAGCCCGACACACUGCUAUCUUCUUGUUAAGAUAACAUGUGUCGGACCCGCGGUGUCCCGACAGGCCGCCCGAUGGUAAAAACUGCUGGUGGUGGGCCGCCGAAAGGCGUUUCGCCCUGUGGACAAGCAUCUGUGCUGUUUUGUGGCAAUCGGACCUAGUGCCGGUUCCGCACACACAAUGCUGUUGGUUCCUGUGGCUGUGUGUGAAACCGUCUGUGCUCGUCACCUGUCGGCGACGCUUCUGCUUUGGGUAAUUUCAGGACCCGUCUUGAAACACGGACCAAGGAGUCUAGCAUGUGCGCGAGUCAUUGGGUUGUAUUUAAAAUUGACAAAACCUAAAGGCGCAAUGAAAGUGAAAGUUUGUAUUUUCGGACACAAACCAAGGGAUGAUGGGCAACCCAUUAGGCGUAGCCCCGCAAUCCCGGGGCGUCCCUGUAGCUCAU